rnacentral:lncRNA from 1 species
UGUUAAUUUGUUACACCACAUUGAUAAUAGACUUGCUUGGACUUAAUGAUUGCUGACUUGACCAACUAGUAGUCUAUUCCAAAACCACAACCAUCAUUCAAAGGUGACCAACUUCAGGGCUUUCUAAGAAAAUAUCAACUUAAGCAAAAGUUAUUAAUUCUUCAAGAACAUACAGAGCACAAGUAGAUCAGGGCCGAUACAAACAUUAGUUUCAACAUAUAAGGCUAAUGAAUCAAGCAAUAGGAUAUCAGCCGACCACUGAUAAUGAACCAGAAGUUUACUCGACUACGUUUGAAACUACUGAAAUUAAACUGAGAGUCCAAGUUUAUGAUUACAACAAAAUACAUGACAUUCACUGAAAUUAUAUCAAGUUUAGCUAACUGUAAACAAAUUAGUUGACAAAUAUUAAACUAUGACAAGAAUACCAAGAUCAAGCUUUGAAUGAGGUUAAGAUUUAGACAUUGGAACACCAUUUUCAUUUAAUAACCAACAUUUCCACUCCAACGUUCCGAAAAUGUACCUGGAUACAACCAAAACAGCCUCAGAAUUUUAAGAGAAGAAGGUGAGAUCAGCAGUAGCUUAUCAGAAGUAGUUAACACGGCAACAACCAACUUUUAAACAAUUUUGAAUCCAAAAUGAUAUAGAAAUCCCUUGAAGGUUUCAAAGCUAAGAAGAUUAAAAGUAGAACUAGGCCAAUUUCUCCCAAAAAUACAAGAGAUUUUCAGUCUUUUUCAACUCAGUCGUUUUAUCAGUUUUCAGUAUUGUAAUCUCUAAAAAAUACCUUGACAAAGAAGGAAAAUAGGCCUCUUAUAGAGGGCCUCUAGGGCAGCAGAAUUGGUUCUAUUAUUUACCAAAUACCCCUUCCCCCAAUUUUCAUUCUUUCAUUUUAAAUCCUGAAUUUCUAAACCAAUUUCUCAAACUACCCGACCCUCUCUUUCCUGGAACCUUCCCAUUCAAUUUUUUUUAAAGAUUCUCUCACUUAAAUUCCGCCAAAUACACUUUAACUCCUUGGCAUUUACCAUCAAACCAAAUGUGGUUCAAGUUGACCCAACAAACAAAACACAAACCUUGGGCUUUCCAAACCCGGACAGACCCUCCUCCCUUUGGGCUUUGGCAUUCAGCAAACCCAAAUUCAAACUUAAACGAAUGGAUCCACAAGUACAAAUAAGAAAAAAAGAACAAUCUAACUCUGAACUUUAAUAACAUGAAAUCUUUUUUUUUUCAACGAAGCAAACUAAGAAUAUUAAGAGAAAAAGAAAAUCAACAGAUGUUUACCAAAGAAAUUAAUCUAACCUUAUAAACCAAAUGUGAUUUCAAUCCUAAUCAUGCAACAAAGCAAUUUAAAAAAAAAGAAACAAGAAAGAGACAGAGAAGAUCAGAAAAAGACGAGGACCAGAAUAAACAAAGACGAAAACGAAGAAAGAUCUGAAAUACCUAGAAUAAACAGGCAAAAAAUGGGCUUGAACGGACUUCAACACCUUCGAUUUUGAGCUGAAAUUGGCCUUAAUCGUAUGUUCUUGUCAAGAACAGAAGAACAAAGCCAGUUUCGACCCUUAAUCAUUCAUUGAAAGUUGGACAAGUUUGGGAGAUUUUCUUUUCUUCUGCUUUCCUUUUAGAUCCGAAAUUGGUUAGAUUUGAUAAGGAUUUGAGGAGAUGUGAUGAUGGAUUGGGAGUCAGGGAUGAGUGGUGGUUGUAUGGUCGAAGUUUGGGGUUGAUUGGAGUCCUGUUGUUGGUGAAAAAUGGUGGAAUUUGAAGGCGGCGUUUAGGGUUCAAACGAAGAAGAUGAGAGAGACUGAAGAUGGGUGUUUGGACUAGGUUGUUUGGGGUGUUUGGACACUUAUAUGAGAAGCUGAUGACUAGUUCAGGGCUGUCUGAUCAAAUGAAAUCGACGGCUACGAUGAAAAGGGUUGAAAGUUGGGUCGUUUGGUUAGAUAGGGGGUUGGACCGGGUUAGGGGCAUGAUUUGGGCUGGAUUCGGAACGGGUUUGGGGGAAAUUGGAUUGGGCCUGGGAAAAUUCAAUUGGAAUAACCCAAAAAUCAGCCUUUCUUUGGACUCUUUUCCCUUUCUUUUCAAUUUCCAAUUUUCCUUUUCUUUUCAAAUUAAAUUAAGACCUAAAAACUCUUAAACCAAAUUAACUUGCCAAAUUAAUCUAAUUACUCACUAUAGUAUUUACAAAAAUUAAUUAACUCCUAAAUUAAAAGAAAAACUAUAAAAUUUAAAAAUAAAAAGUUAAAAUGCAAAGUGAGUUUUUAUUGUAAUUUUUCAUUUUUAUAAAACGACCAAUUUAUUAGUUAUCCUAAAAUAUAAAAAUAGAUCCUAAAUGAAAAUGCAGAGUAUUUUUGUAUUUUCAUGAUUUAAAUAAAAAUUAAACAUGCACAGAAAAAAUGCAAAUAAUUAAGAAAAUUCCACAAAAAUUUCUAAAAUGGCAAAUUAUUAAAAGAAAAAUCUAAUUCCUUGGGAUUCUAUAGGAGUAUUUCGUAUAGGGAAAAAAUCACAUGCUCACAGCUGCCCCUCUUUUCUCGGAGACACGAAGGGUUUUCGGGCAAAGAUAAAAUAGCAAUUAUGAGGGAUUUUUGCCCGUUUGAAACUCCAUGAGAAGCAUUUUUUGAAAAGAGCCUGACCAAACCUUGCUUAAGAGGUUGCCUACAUAUCCUUGGCUAUAAAAGAAUCAGGUCAGUGUAGUUAUGGAAGUUUCGGUAGCUGGGGCUACCAGGGAGCUGUGAUUUCACUGUUGAUGUUGCUACUACUGCUUGCCGAACUCCUUAUUGCACUAAGACAAAAUAAAAGAAUCUAGAAUAGACUACGAUCCAUGAAUUAUAAGAAUCCUAUCUAUAUCUUCAAACUUAAUCAUGCAGUUUCUGUUGCUUUGUUGACUUGUACUCUCCAAGUGAAAUUCCUUUGCUGCUGACUUGAAUUGUAUUCUGAGGUGCUUUCCCUUUGUUUUUCAGGAGGGCACCUGAUUACUGAACUUGAAUCGUCUUCCUUCGAAUAUUGCUGCCUUCCCUUUGUUCUCCAGGUGGGCGCCUGAUUACCAACAUUUGAAUUAUCUUCCUUUCCUCUGACACUUGACUUGUUUUCCCUUUGUUUUCCAGGUAGGCGCCUGAUUGCCGAACUUGCACCGUCUUCCUUUGAACAUUGCUGCCUUCCCUUUGUUCUCUGGGUGGGCUACUGAUUACCAACACUUGGAUUUCUUUCCUUUUGUUCUUCAGGAGGGUGCCUGAUUACCAACAUCUGCACUGUUUUUCCUUGACACUUGAACUGUUUCCUUUUGUUCUCCAGGUGGGCUCCUGAUUUCCAACACUUGAAUUGCUGCUUCCCUUUGUUCUCCAGGUGGUCUCCUGAUUACCGACACUUGAACUGUUGCUUCCCUUUGUUCUCCAGGUGGGAUCUUGAUUACCAACACUUGAAUUGCUCUCCCUUUGUUUUCAAGGUGGGCUCCUGAUUACCAACACUUGAAUUGCCCUCCCUUUGUUCUCCAGGUGGGCUCUUGAUUACAAACACUUGAAUCGCUCUCCCUUUGUUCUCCAGGUGGGCUCCAAAUUACCAACACUUGAAUCGCUCUCCCUUUGUUCUCCAGGUGGGCUCCUGAUUAACAAUCCUUGAAUUGCUCUCCCUUUGUUCUCCAGGUGGGCUCCUGAUUACCGACACUUGAAUUGCUUUUCCCUUUGUUCUCCAGGUGGACUACUGAUUACCGACACUUGAAUUGCUUUUCCCUUCUUUCUCCAGGUUGGCGCCUGAUUGCCAAAACUUUAACCGUAUUCCCUCAGAACUUGAUUUGUUUUCCCUUUAUUCUCCAGGUGGGCUCCUGAUUGCUGAACUUGAACUACUUCCUCUUGCGACUAUUUUUCCUUUGAACUGCCUUCCAAAGUUUCUACAGGUGAGUGCCUGAUUGCUCGAACCUGAAUUGUCCUUUUUCUUGAAACUCGUGUUGUUUUCCCUUACUCUCCAGGUGGGCGCCUAAUUACAACAAAAUAGACAAACCAAGAAAAUUUUCUGCUCUAGUUUGGUAGCUGGGCACAUCUAUGAGUGUUAAUUGAAUCAUGUUAUCACACCUCCUUUUUACCUACACCGAAGUAAAGGGGUGUAAAGGGGAGUUUUUUCCAACUUAAAGUGACAAUCGAAACAGGAUUAUUUAUUUAUUAAAUUCAGAGUCGCCACUUGGGAUAAUUUUAUGGUGUCCCAAGUCACCAGUUCAAAUCCCGAAUCGAGGAAAAGAUUGACUCUGUAUUACAGUCCGCAAACAUAGAAAUCCGGGUAAGGAAUUCUGUUAACCCGGGAGAAGGUGUUAGGCAUUCCCGGAUUUCGUGGUUCUAGCACGGUCGCUCAACUAUUAUAAUUGGCUUAUUAUCUGAUUUUAGUACACUUUUAAACCUAUGCACAUUCUUAACUUUAAAACCGCUUUUGGUAUUUAUUAAAGAAAAUUACAACGUUAUUUAAAUGUGUCUUGAACCACGUUACAUAAAUGCACCCGCAGUCCGCAACACAUUUUAUCUAACGUUGUUGAGAUUGGGAUUUGGGUCACAUAAAUGCGCACCCGAGUUUAAGAAAAUAAUAUUUUAAUAGCGCGUCUAAAACAACUACGCACUUUCAACUAUGCGAGGGCCAUGGAAAAUUCAACUGAAUGGCACGCCUCGAUUUCUAAGGAUUCAAAAUUAAUCAAGUGAGGGCCAUAGGUUCUGGGAUUUUAUUUGGCAUGGCACGCCUCAAUUUAUUUCAAAAGAAUGUAUUCAACUAAAGCAAACCACAUAUGUUUAUAAAUAAUAACUGACAUGAACUCAUAAAUAAGCAUAUUAGCUACAUGGUACUAAUCUGGGAUGAACUUGCAUUAAUAGUAACAACUGCCCACCACUUUGCAAACUCCAUGGAGUGUGAAAUAGCUUAGACCAGACUGAGCAAACUACUUGAAUAAUAUGAAUGUUUUGGCACUAUAACAACAUUUAACAUGUAGAAGACCUCACAACUAUGUUUAAGAGAUUAUUUAACCUAUAUUGUGCUUAUAUAAAGUGACAAUGUAAAAGAAAUUUGACUUUAUUAUCGUCUGUAUGCCCACGUCAAUUGCAAUUUGCCAAGUUAUACCCAAAAAUGGUCACUUGUACAACUUUGUUCCUUGAUAUACAACAACGCACAUAUUCAAUCAAAUGUUGCUAAUUCAAAUCCUAGUCUCCAGAAUAAAGCACAACAAUCCACUAGAGAACUAAAUUAGUACUUCAGUGCAAAGUAUUGAUAAAGAAUCGAUACUUCACUUCACGAAUCAGAACAACAAUGACAACAAAAGUUUCAUUCAAUGCAGAAACGCAGAUCCAGUUUAUAACAAAUAUACACGCCCUUUUUAUUGCUAUUUCAAUAUGAUAACAAUCGAAUUAGAGGUCUACGAACAGAACAAAAAUAGAUCAACACACAAAAGUGAACUUGAAGAUUCAACAAACUUGAAGAAUUUUAAUUGAAGACCAAAGGAAUUAAGGUUUUUCACCUGAUGAAGAAACAGAACAAGUUAUCAACGGAACGUCGAACCGGCAAACUCGACUCAAAUGAAACUCCGCCGGUUGAAAAUUGAAAACUCUUCGAUGAUGAAAUCCAGUCGAGUCAACCAAGUGAGCGUACGAGCAGGAAAACAUUAGAGGCAGUCAAAGCUACUGAAUCUCGUCAUUUCCGGCAAUGUAACAGUGAAAAGAGAGAGAGAAAAUACGAGAAACGAGAAUGGCGUGAUAGAAGUUCGCCGGAUUCAAUGGAGGUUCACCGAAUUUAACCAAACACUCGACCAGAUCUGAAACUCAUCGCACAUGGAGGAGAGGAGAGGACGGAAGCCAUGAAGCUUCGUUGAUCGUCGACAAGUUGACAGCAGCAAUAGUUCCCGGCAGAAGAAGAAGCAGCCUAGCUUUUUCUAGGUUCUUUAGAGGAAGAGGAAGCUUUGGUGGUUUUGUGAGGGUGAAGCAUUGUUUAUGGCUGUUGCGUGGUGAAGGGAGGUCCGACGAUGAAGUUUUGGUGGUGAGGGUGCGGCUAGUAUGGAGAUUAGGUUGCUAAAGAUGGAGGUCCAGUAGGUAGGGUGGUCUGGCGGAGGAGAUGUUGGUGGUGUUGGAGAGGUCAGGGGUCAUUUGGUCAUUCAGCUGAGGAAGAAGAUGGGCUGCUCGAUGGAUGGGAACUGUGUUUUCCAGCAGACUGGCGGUGUGGCUGGCGGGGCUGGUUCGUCGGUUUGGGAUGGUUAUGGCAGGCUAAGGGCGGCUGGGGUCUCUAAAGGUGCUAGGGUUCAGCUAGGUUUUUGGGUGGUGUCUUCUUGAAGAAGAAAGCUGCCAUGGAUGUCCUCCUCUCUUAUAUCUAGGGUUUAUGUUAUAGUAGAUGAAGAAGAAGAUUGGGGUGUUGAUGGGGUAUUGGAUUAAGUCUUGUUGGGCUUGAAAUUAGGCCAAAAGCUCAAGAAUGGACCUCUCUUACUAAAA